rnacentral:rRNA from 1 species
CCUACGGGAGGCAGCAGUGGGGAAUAUUGGACAAUGGGGGCAACCCUGAUCCAGCCAUGCUGCGUGUGUGAAGAAGGCCCUCGGGUUGUAAAGCACUUUCAGUGAGGAAGAACGCCUGGUGGUUAAUACCCAUCAGGAAAGACAUCACUCACAGAAGAAGCACCGGCUAACUCCGUGCCAGCAGCCGCGGUAAUACGGAGGGUGCGAGCGUUAAUCGGAAUUACUGGGCGUAAAGCGCGCGUAGGUGGCUUGAUAAGCCGGUUGUGAAAGCCCCGGGCUCAACCUGGGAACGGCAUCCGGAACUGUCAAGCUAGAGUGCAGGAGAGGAAGGUAGAAUUCCCGGUGUAGCGGUGAAAUGCGUAGAGAUCGGGAGGAAUACCAGUGGCGAAGGCGGCCUUCUGGACUGACACUGACACUGAGGUGCGAAAGCGUGGGUAGCAAACAGGAUUAGAUACCCGAGUAGUC